GAUGAACGCUGGCGGCGUGCCUAAUACAUGCAAGUCGAGCGAACGGACGAGAAGCUUGCUUUUCUGAUGUUAGCGGCGGACGGGUGAGUAACACGUGGAUAACCUACCUAUAAGACUGGGAUAACUUCGGGAAACCGGAGCUAAUACCGGAUAAUAUUUUGAACCGCAUGGUUCAAAAGUGAAAGACGGUCUUGCUGUCACUUAUAGAUGGAUCCGCGCUGCAUUAGCUAGUUGGUAAGGUAACGGCUUACCAAUGCAACGAUGCAUAGCCGACCUGAGAGGGUGAUCGGCCACACUGGAACUGAGACACGGUCCAGACUCCUACGGGAGGCAGCAGUAGGGAAUCUUCCGCAAUGGGCGAAAGCCUGACGGAGCAACGCCGCGUGAGUGAUGAAGGUCUUCGGAUCGUAAAACUCUGUUAUUAGGGAAGAACAUAUGUGUAAGUAACUGUGCACAUCUUGACGGUACCUAAUCAGAAAGCCACGGCUAACUACGUG
rnacentral:rRNA from 1 species